UAGGGAAUCUUCCACAAUGGACGCAAGUCUGAUGGAGCAACGCCGCGUGAGUGAAGAAGGUUUUCGGACCGUAAAGCUCUGUUGUUGGUGAAGAAGGAUAGAGGUAGUAACUGGCCUUUAUUUGACGGUAAUCAACCAGAAAGUCACGGCUAACUACGUGCCAGCAGCCGCGGUAAUACGUAGGUGGCAAGCGUUGUCCGGAUUUAUUGGGCGUAAAGCGAGCGCAGGCGGAAGAAUAAGUCUGAUGUGAAAGCCCUCGGCUUAACCGAGGAAUUGCAUCGGAAACUGUUUUUCUUGAGUGCAGAAGAG
rnacentral:rRNA from 1 species